UACGUAGGGAGCAAGCGUUGUCCGGAAUCAUUGGGCGUAAAGCGCGCGUAGGUGGCCCCAUAAGUCCGCUGUGAAAGUCGGGGGCUCAACCCUCGGAUGCCGGUGGAUACUGUCGGGCUCGAGUACGGAAGAGGCGAGUGGAAUUCCUGGUGUAGCGGUGAAAUGCGCAGAUAUCAGGAGGAACACCAAUUGCGAAGGCAGCUCGCUGGGACGUUACUGACGCUGAGACGCGAAAGCGUGGGGAGCAAACAGG
rnacentral:rRNA from 1 species